rnacentral:misc_RNA from 1 species
UAUGAAGCUAAAUGGAACAACGUACUAAAGGGUAAGCACGUCAGCUGAAAUCAGUAGCGGACCCCAAGCUGACAGAGCCUUUUCACACCUUUUCGCAUAUUGCUGACUGCCAGAAGUGUUCUUGUUAGCCGCAGGUCCAAUUCGCAUGGGCCUGGAUGAACAGAGAACACCAUUCAUCUCAGUCAUCGCCCUCAUUUGUUCAGUCUCGUCUCCGAACUUAACAAACCCAUAACCUUUAGUGCGUCCAGUGAGCCUAUCAAUCACAACCUUGGCACCCUUCACAGAUGUAUAACGCGCCCUAAAUGUCUCUUGUAGCACGUAAUCAGUAACAUCACCAGCCAAAUCCCCAACAAAAAUUGUGUAAUCAGGAGAGUCAUCUUGUCGCUUCUCCCCUGCAGACGCCCAGUUCAAUCUAAAAUUUUGAGCCCCAUUAGGCAUCGGGGUGCCAUUAUACGUUUGAAGUACUCUUUCUGCAGCUGGACGAGUUAAAAACUCAAGAAAGCCGUAACCCUCGGACUGGCCAGUUUGUUUGUUCCGAAUGACUUUCACGGAUGAAAUCUCGCCUGUAUGAGCAAAGCAAUUGAAAAGAUAGUUCUCGUCCAUCCAGUACUGCAAGUCUCCGAUCCAGAGCGUACGGACCUCAUCGGCGCUGGCUGGUUGAGGCGGUUGGCCCUGUGGCGAAACGGCCUGCGGCUGCUGAGGCCACAUCUGAGGGACAGGUUGGGGCUGAGGCGGCUGAGGUGGCAUCAUCAUGUAAGGGGGUUGCUGUUGCUGAUACUGAGGGGCUUGGUGAGGCAUGUUGUGGGGGGCAACACCAGGAGCAGGCUGCAUGGUUUGAAAGAAGAGAGGGAUGAAGGAAUUUGUUAAAUGUAAAAUAGGAAGAGAGUUUGGGGAUCUCGUUGGAGUCGGAGAAACCCUAACCCUAGAUGUCGGAAACAGGCAAG